rnacentral:rRNA from 1 species
AGAGUUUGAUCCUGGCUCAGAACGAACGCUGGCGGCGUGCCUCAUACAUGCAAGUCGAACGAGAAAGUGAUUUUCGAAUCGCUAGUAAAGUGGCGAACGGGUGAGUAACGCGUGGGUAAUCUGCCCUCGAGUGGGGAAUAACAUUCCUAACGGGAUGCUAAUACCGCAUAACACCACCGUGUCGCAUGGCACGGUGGUCAAAGGUGGCCUCUACUUGUAAGCUAUCGCUUGAGGAUGAGCCCGCGUUUCAUUAGCUUGUUGGUGAGGUAACGGCUCACCAAGGCAGCGAUGAAUAGCCGGCCUGAGAGGGUGUCCGGCCACACUGGGACUGAGAUACGGCCCAGACUCCUACGGGAGGCAGCAGUAGGGAAUUUUGCGCAAUGGGGGAAACCCUGACGCAGCAACGCCGCGUGGGUGAUGAAGCUCCUUGGAGUGUAAAACCCUGUCAGGAGGGAAGAAGCUAUCAUCGGGAUAACACCUCGAUGACGUGACGGUACCUCCAGAGGAAGCUCCGGCUAACUCCGUGCCAGCAGCCGCGGUAAUACGGGGGGAGCAAGCGUUGUUCGGAAUUAUUGGGCGUAAAGAGCGUGUAGGCGGCCAGGUAAGUCGGAUGUGAAAGUCCCGGGCUUAACCCGGGAAGUGCAUUCGAAACUGCUUGGCUGGAGUAAGAGAGAGGAAAGUGGAAUUCCUGGUGUAGAGGUGAAAUUCGUAGAUAUCAGGAGGAACACCGGUGGCGAAGGCGGCUUUCUGGCUCUAUACUGACGCUGAGACGCGAAAGCGUGGGUAGCAAACAGGAUUAGAUACCCUGGUAGUCCACGCCGUAAACGAUGUUCACUAGGUGUUGGGGGUAUUGACCCCCUCAGUGCCGUAGCUAACGCAUUAAGUGAACCGCCUGGGGAGUACGGUCGCAAGACUAAAACUCAAAGGAAUUGACGGGGGCUCACACAAGCGGUGGAGCAUGUGGAUUAAUUCGAAGCAACGCGCAGAACCUUACCUGGGUUUGACAUGCUUGGAUGCCCAUCUGGAAACGGAGUAGGCUGCUCUUCGGAGUGAAACUUGCACAGGUGCUGCAUGGCUGUCGUCAGCUCGUGUCGUGAGAUGUCGGGUUAAGUCCUUUAACGAGCGAAACCCUUGCCGUUAGUUGCCAGCGGGUAAUGCCGGGGACUCUAACGGGACUGCCGGUGUCAAACCGGAGGAAGGCGGGGAUGACGUCAAGUCCUCAUGGCCUUUAUGCCCAGGGCCUCACACGUGCUACAAUGGUGGCUACAGAGCGACGCGAUACCGCGAGGUGGAGCAAAUCGCAAAAAAGUUAUCUCAGUCCGGAUUGCAGGCUGGCAAUUCGCCUGCAUGAAGUUGGAAUCGCUAGUAAUCGCGUAUCAGCUAUGACGCGGUGAAUAUGUUCCUGAGCCUUGUACACACCGCCCGUCAAGUGAUGGAAGCUGGGAGUACCCGAAGUCGGGUUGCUAACCUUAGGGAGGCGCCUGCCUACGGUAAGCUCGGUGACUGGCACUAAGUCGUAACAAGGUAACC